GAUAAACGCUGGCGGCGUGCAUAACACAUGCAAGUCAAACGGGAGAAGGAGAAGUGCUUGCACUUUUCCCAAUCAAGUGGCGGACGGGUGAGUAACGCGUGGACAACCAACCCGGUAGCGGGGGACAACAACGAGAAAUCGUUGCUAAUACCGCAUGAGCCCUUAAGUAUGCAUAUAUUUACGGGGAAAGGCCUUCGGGUCACUACCGGACGGGUCCGCGUCUGAUUAGCUAGUUGGAGGGGUAACGGCCCACCAAGGCAACGAUCAGUAGCCGAUCUGAGAGGAUGGACGGCCACAUUGGGACUGAGAUACGGCCCAGACUCCUACGGGAGGCAGCAGUGGGGGAUAUUGCACAAUGGGGGAAACCCUGAUGCAGCGACGCCGCGUGAGGGAAGAAGGUUUUCGGAUUGUAAACCUCUGUCUUUGGGGAAGAGUAGAAGACGGUACCCAAGGAGGAAGCCACGGCUAACUACGUGCCAGCAGCCGCGGUAAGAC
rnacentral:rRNA from 1 species